rnacentral:rRNA from 1 species
AUUGAACGCUGGCGGCAGGCCUAACACAUGCAAGUCGAUCGAGUGGCGGACGGGUGAGUAAUGUCUGGGAAACUGCCCGAUGGAGGGGGAUCACUCUUGGAAACGGUAGCUAAUACCGCCAACCUGCGGAUGUGCCCAGAUGGGAUUAGCUAGCAGGUGGGGUAAUGGCUCACCUAGGCGACGAUCCCUAGCUGGUCAGAGAGGAUGACCAGCCACACUGGAACAGAGACACGGUCCAGACUCCUACGUGAGGCAGCAGUGGGGAAUAUUGCACAAUGGGCGCAAGCCUAAUGCAGCCAUGCCGCGGGUAUGAAGAGGGCCUUCGGGUUGUAAAGUACUUUCAGCGAGGAGGCGUUACUCGCAGAAGAAGCACCGGCUAACUCCGUGCCAGCAGCCGCGGUAAUUC